rnacentral:rRNA from 1 species
UACAGAGGUGGCAAGCGUUGUUCGGAAUUACUGGGCGUAAGGGCGCGUAGGCGGUCUUGUAAGUCUUGUGUGAAAUCCCUCGGCUUAACUGAGGAACUGCACGGGAUACUGCGAGACUUGAGAUCGGGAGAGGGAAGCGGAAUUCCGGGUGUAGCGGUGAAAUGCGUAGAUAUCGGAAGGAACACCAGUGGCGAAGGCGGCUUCCUGGACUAAUACUGACGCUGAGGUGCGAAAGCGUGGGGAGCAAACAGG